rnacentral:rRNA from 1 species
AUACGUAGGGGGCGAGCGUUGUCCGGAAUGAUUGGGCGUAAAGGGCGCGUAGGCGGCCCGGUAAGUCUGGAGUGAAAGUCCUGUUUUUAAGAUGGGAAUUGCUUUGGAUACUGUCGGGCUUGAGUGCAGGAGAGGUAAGUGGAAUUCCCAGUGUAGCGGUGAAAUGCGUAGAGAUUGGGAGGAACACCAGUGGCGAAGGCGACUUACGGGACGGUGUCUGACGCUCAGAUGCGAAAGCCAGGGUAGCGAACGGGAUUAGAUACCCCGGUAGUCCUGGCCGUAAACGAUGGGUACUAGGUGUGGGAGGUAUCGACUCCUUCCGUGCCGGAGUUAACGCAAUAAGUACCCCGCCUGGGGAGUACGGCCGCAAGGCUUAAACUUAAAGGAAUUGGCGGGG